AGACGAGCAGCUGAACGGACCGGUCUGCCACAGCGAAGGCGAGGAAAGGAAGCUUUAAUAAAUCAACUGCAAAAAGAAGCAGAUCAAUGGUUGCCUUAAGAGUUAAAGUUGUUUUCCUCAUGUUCGUUCUGCUGACUCUGCUCUGCUCUGCAAGUUCUUGGAUUGACGACGACGAGCUGAGAGAAAUAAGAAGAGACAUUCAGAAAUUGCAACAUGAUGCCGCCAGGAGAAAAGCAAUUAACACGAUUGACCUUAAUUUCAUUCCUGAGCUUGUGGAUGAUGUCUCACAGAUAUUGGACAGUUCGGUGGAAA